UACGGAGGGUGCAAGCGUUAAUCGGAAUUACUGGGCGUAAAGCGUGCGUAGGCGGUUCGUUAAGUCUGUUGUGAAAGCCCCGGGCUCAACCUGGGAAUGGCAAUGGAUACUGGCGAGCUAGAGUGUGUCAGAGGAUGGUGGAAUUCCCGGUGUAGCGGUGAAAUGCGUAGAGAUUGGGAGGAACAUCAGUGGCGAAGGCGGCCAUCUGGGACAACACUGACGCUGAGGCACGAAAGCGGUGGGAGCAAACAGG
rnacentral:rRNA from 1 species